rnacentral:rRNA from 1 species
ACGAACGCUGGCGGCGUGCUUAACCCCUGCAAGUCGAACGGAAAGGCCCUGCUUUUGUGGGGUGCUCGAGUGGCGAACGGGUGGGUAACACGUGAGUAACCUGCCCUUGACUUUGGGAUAACUUCAGGAAACUGGGGCUAAUACCGGAUAGGAGCUCCUGCUGCAUGGUGGGGGUUGGAAAGUUUCGGCGGUUGGGGAUGGACUCGCGGCUUAUCAGCUUGUUGGUGGGGUAGUGGCUUACCAAGGCUUUGACGGGUAGCCGGCCUGAGAGGGUGACCGGCCACAUUGGGACUGAGAUACGGCCCAGACUCCUACGGGAGGCAGCAGUGGGGAAUAUUGCACAAUGGGCGGAAGCCUGAUGCAGCAACGCCGCGUGCGGGAUGACGGCCUUCGGGUUGUAAACCGCUUUCGCCUGUGACGAAGCGUGAGUGACGGUAAUGGGUAAAGAAGCACCGGCUAACUACGUG